UACGUAGGGUGCGAGCGUUGUCCGGAAUUAUUGGGCGUAAAGAGCUCGUAGGCGGUUUGUUGCGUCGGCCGUGAAAACUUGGGGCUUAACCCCGAGCCUGCGGUCGAUACGGGCAGACUUGAGUUCGGCAGGGGAGACUGGAAUUCCUGGUGUAGCGGUGAAAUGCGCAGAUAUCAGGAGGAACACCGGUGGCGAAGGCGGGUCUCUGGGCCGAUACUGACGCUGAGACGCGAAAGCGUGGGGAGCGAACAGG
rnacentral:rRNA from 1 species